rnacentral:sRNA from 1 species
UUGGAGACCAAAGUCUUAUGGCUAUUAUUUACAGAGCAGAUGCAACACAGGCACUGACAUUACAAGCUUCCCCCAGCUUUGUAUGCCCAAAGUGUCAGAGCUCUGCUCUUCAGGGACUAGCUCAAAAUAAGAGUGGGUAUAUUCUGAGACUGCCAAGAAAGAUGCCAGU